rnacentral:rRNA from 1 species
UACGGAGGGUGCAAGCGUUAAUCGGAAUUACUGGGCGUAAAGCGUGCGCAGGCGGUUGUGCAAGACAGAUGUGAAAUCCCCGGGCUCAACCUGGGAAUUGCAUUUGUGACUGUACGGCUAGAGUGUGUCAGAGGGGGUAGAAUUCCACGUGUAGCAGUGAAAUGCGUAGAGAUGUGGAGGAAUACCGAUGGCGAAGGCAGCCCCCUGGGAUAACACUGACGCUCAUGCACGAAAGCGUGGGGAGCGAACAGG